rnacentral:rRNA from 1 species
CCUACGGGAGGCAGCAGUGAGGAAUAUUGGUCAAUGGACGAGAGUCUGAACCAGCCAAGCAGCGUGAAGGAUGACUGCCUUAUGGGUUGUAAACUUCUUUUAUAUGGGAAUAAAAUGUUCCACGUGUGGGAUUUUGUAUGUACCAUAUGAAUAAGGAUCGGCUAACUCCGUGCCAGCAGCCGCGGUAAUACGGAGGAUCCGAGCGUUAUCCGGAUUUAUUGGGUUUAAAGGGAGCGUAGGUGGAUUGUUAAGUCAGUUGUGAAAGUUUGCGGCUCAACCGUAAAAUUGCAGUUGAAACUGGCAGUCUUGAGUGCAGUAGAGGUGGGCGGAAGUCGAGGUGUAGCGGUGAAAUGCUUAGAUAUCACGAAGAACUCCGAUUGCGAAGGCAGUUCACUGGACUGCAACUGACACUGAGGCUCGAAAGUGUGGGUAUCAAACAGGAUUAGAUACCCCAGUAGUC